GAAGAACUAUCCAUAACACCUGGAGUUCUUCUCUGAAAGUCUCUCCCUUUUUCUAAUUUUCUAAAUUUGUAUUAUAUGUAUAUUUCAUAUAUAUAUUCAGUAUAAUUGAUGAAGAGCCAACACCCAUUUGGAACAGAGUUAACUCAUGUGGUCUGAUUUGUUUCACAAGUUCAAGUGACAGCUCCACCGAAGAAGAAGAAGAGACUGUGACAAUUAAGGAUGAAGCAGAAAGCAGAAUGAGGAAUUGCUCAGGGAAAAGCCUGUUACUGCAACAACUCCGAGCAGCCCGUAAAGAGACCUCGGAGCUUCUUUGUAAAGCAUCUGCUCCAACUGAGAAACUGGAUCCAGAAAGUCUGGAAGACAGAGGUUCCUCUAACAUAAAUGAAACCCAAUCUUGUAAAGUGAGGCAAGAGACAAAUAAGGUGGUUCCCAGGAAACUAAUGAGAUUGGAACCAGAGAAGAAAAGUCCCCCUUUGUCAAGCUGUGGGGACAAUGAAGCUGACAUAGAAAAAGGAAACAAAAUGGAAGCUGAGAAGGUUCAGAAUUCAGGAAAUGCUCCAGAGUGUCCUCUAAUUACAACGGAAUUGCCAAGGACACAAGAAAGUGAAAGAGAGCUAUCCCAAAAAGAAGAGCAGAUGAAAGAGAGACAGAGGAGACUCAGAUUCCAGGAGCAGCUGGAGGGAUUGCAGCCUCAGCAGUCAGUGUCUGGGAAGCAGCCCAUGGCAGAGAACACCCCUGUUCUGUUCCACAUGGAAGCCUCUUAUUUGCCAGCUAUUGACACAUUGCCUGGCCCACAGAGUGUGAAGAAUGAGGUGCUGCUGCUGACCAUUAGGCUGACAAGCUGUGGCCAAGUGGCCACAGAUCAGUGUGAUGGGCAGGUGCCUGACAAGGUGCUGGGAGCAGCCAACAUCUACCAGGCCCUCGUGACGUGGCUGCUCUCUCUGGUGCCUCCUUUGAAAAGGAACAAUGGCCCCAGAGCUCCGUUUGAGGUGGUGGGGCUGCAGCAGGCCUGGAGGGAGGAAGGCUUGGCCCUCUGUGCUGGUCUGAUCCCAGCAGAUGAGUCUUCAGCCCAGAGCUGCCCCAGGACCCACGAGGCACAAAACACAGAAGAUCUACGAGGACCAUCUGUGUUUUACCAGAAGAUUUCUGCAUUUCUUGCCUCUACAUGGCUUCCAGAUGUUAUUUGGUGGAGGGCAGAACUGGCCAGUUGCUUCCAAAACCAGCCGUGUCCACUUCUUCAUGAUAUUCCCUCUGUCCUGCUCAGUAACGUUGUUGCUGUUAACCCCGACCCUCAGGCAGCAGAGAAGGUGUUUGUGGUGCCAAAUGGAUUUUACUGGCAGACAGUUGAAAGUGGUGACAAAUACUUCCCUGACAGCAGUGCCAUGGAGGCCUGCAGAGAUACAGACACUGAGGUUGCCAUGGUGCUGCUGUUUGAGAGGCUCCUCCGAAGUCCCCUGGCUGCCCAUCACCUGCUGCAGCUGCUGCUCAGCUCUGGCCUGGAUGUCUGUGGCCUCCGCCUGCUCUAUCCCCAGCAGGAUGUGCUGCUCUCCAGCUCAGAAAAGCUACCUUCUUCCUACACCUCAGAGCUUGGCAACGUGCCACCAGUGCUGGCACUGGGUGUGAGAGGGCCUAGAGCACGUGGCACCUUGCAGGACAUCAUGGGGCCAUCUGACCCAUGGCUGGCCAGAGUGACAGACUGUGGUUCCAUCAAUGCCAUCUACAGCGAGAGCCAAGAGGAGCCUCUCAUGUACCUGCCCUGCCUGGACAGCCACAGGGAGCUGUGCCUCUGGUUUGGAGGAAGGGCUGCUGGGAUCCUGCACCUGCCUUCCAGCUCUCAGGGUCCUUCAUCAGCUGGGACAGAAGCAGAUGAAGAAAAGAUUGAUCUCCAGAGCAUGAUGCUGCCUCGACAUCCAGCCAUGCUUGCCUCAACUACCAAAGGGGACAUCAUUUUGCUGGUGUCGCCUGUGGUGUCUCCUCGUGUCUAUGGAAGGGUGAUGUCUGUCUGCGCUCGUCGGGGGUUUGUCCUGCAAGGCCUCAGGCAGCUGCAGCUCUCACCCCAGCAAGGCCUUGUGCUGAGCAUGACAACAAGGCAGAUUGAUGUUUUUUGCCCUGGAAAGAGUUCAAGCUCACCUGAUAGUCCUGCAAGGGGAGAACUCCCAGCUGAACCACGGGGGCACUGCCUCGUUUUGUUGCUGAGGAAGGAGAAUGCAAGUCAUCACAUUCCUGCCCUGAUGAAAGGGCUGAUGGAUGAGCUGGCAAAGCCAGGCCUUGGCAGUGGGCAGAGCAGCCCCCCUGUGACUGCUGGCCUGGAUGCCUCUGUCUGCUUCCACGUGGCUCCGUACGCCGAGACCUCGCUGCAGGCCCUGGGAGGAAACCUCAGCGCAGUUCCAGAGCCCCACAACAUUCCUCUGGAUUUUUUCUGCCAGCGAACGUACGCUGCUGAUCCCGGGAUGGAGCAAGUUGUGACACUGACAGUGGUUGGAAUGGAGACCAUGAAAAGUGCUGGAGAGCUCCUUCACCAGAUCCUGUUUCCUGGGCUUAACAACCAGUCUCGGAGUGCAGGAGUCUUGGAGGGAUUAACACAGUGUAGGGAGAAGCUCACCACAAGUGGAAGUCUCCCACAGGCAGUAAUGGCCUUGACUCCAGAGGUGACAUUCAGACAAGCCAUCCUCUUCUUCACAGAGGCUGAUUUUGUAGCCGAUGCAGAACACCGCCCUGCCAUGAAAUACCUGCCACCUCCUGGCAGGAGGUCCAGGGCUGAAGUGGGUGAGAGCUGGAGAGGCCGUGCAGAGUCCCUGUUUGCCUACCUGCACACAGGAGCCCAGGUCCUCUGCACAGUGCUGCUCAUCAAACCCAGGGUCUGGAGCCAGAAUCUUGCCAGGAUCCUCAGAAACCUAGACCUGGAAAAAUUCACCCUGGUCGGAAUGAAACACGUAGACCUGGAACCAGCCCUUGCUCUGGGACUCCUUCCUGCUGAAGUGAAACAGGAUCCUGCUGCUUUAGAAGCUCACUGUACCUACCUCACCUCAGGCACUGCUCUCGUGCUGUGUCUGCAGAGGCCAAAUGCUGUGAAGAAGCUGGUGGAUCUCCUGGGGCCAGAGGAUCCUGAACUAGCCCAAGCAGUAGAUCCCUGCCUCUGGAGGGCUCAGUAUGGCACCAACACAGUCCACAAUGGAUUUUAUGGCUCCAAAUCCUAUCAAAUGGCUGUCCGGGAUAUGAAGCUGUUUUUCCCAGAAGGGCUGUGCUGUGCCAAUUGUCAGACACUGGAGGAAGAAGAGAUUUAUAACCUGAAACGUGACCCCAUAUUCAGUCUGGAAGUCAGCAAGAAGCACAAGAUCCUAAACUGUGAGCCAGGAAGAAAACCCAGUGUUCUGGGCUCUGAGCAGCUAUGCAGUCCUGGUCAGCCAUUGCUGGACACCCGCUGCCAAAGCACUUGCCUCGUGUUGCCUGGGAUAAUCCUGCGGGGUUCAGAGCCCCCACCUUACGUGGACCUGCUGGAUGAGCUUCUUGGCAGAGGUUUUGUGGUGACUGGAGCUCGUCUCACCGUGCUGGACAUGCCACAGGCUCUCUGCAUCUCCAGGACACUCAGCAGGGCCAAGGGCAGUGUGGCAGCAAAGUGUUCCCUCCUGAAGGAUGGUUUGUGCCUGGUGCUGGCAGCACAGCGGGACAAUGCUGUCACCUGCCUCUGCUCCCUGCUGGACAGUGCCUGCUGGCAGAAGCAGUCCAUCCUGAACACUGCAGAGCAUCUCCUUUAUCCCCAGAAUGAGAAUCAGGCCCAGGAGCUGCUCUGCAGCCUUUUUGACUCGCUGACAUCAGAGAGCAUCCACCAGAUUGAAUCCCAGGAUUCUUAGCCAAGGCAGUCAAGGCCUCCAAGCAGCCUUGGAUGCCACUGUGGAGAUGGACACAUGGGGACUCCCAGCUCUCAGAACACUAAUAUUUGUUUGGGAUUAAAAAGCAAAGUCUGAAGUGUGGCAUUAGCAUUGCUAAGAUAAAUGAGAGUGGUGGGAGGAAGGAUCAGAGCCCCAAAACAAAUAUUUCUGAACUGUAGCCAUGGUUUCUAAUGGAAUGCAUUCAGAGACAGUCUGCUUGUGUCCAUGGAGCAAGGUUUGGAGCAUUCCUCUGACUGGGAAAAGUUCAGUAAGUGAACUUUUCAGCAGUGUUCACUGCUAUCUGUCUCUCAGGUUCUUGGGAACUUCAUCUUCCCCAAGCCUCAAAGACUUCAUGGAGAGAUUCAGUAGCUGCUGCUGCUAGUGUGUUCUCUGAACCAAAGACAAAACCACAGCAAAUAAAAUGGAAAUAGUCUGAGAGAAGGUUGGAUCC
rnacentral:lncRNA from 1 species